rnacentral:misc_RNA from 1 species
AAGGGGAAAAGCGAAGGCCGCCCGCCUAUCGGCGAAACGCGCUGGAGGGCCUGCGAGGAGGCUGUUGCCGCCGCAGCAGGACCGAAGCGUCGCGAGCCGAUGGCGGCCGGAGCUAGACAGUACGAAAAGCGAAGGCCGCAAUGGCCAACUGUCGAUACACCGCGCUUUCGUUUCGUUCGGUUUUGAGGGAAUGAAAAAUUCCUUCACUUGUUUUGCGCCUGCGUCUUCUAGCAGAUUCAAGGAAGAUGGAUUCCUCGGCGCAAAGCUGCAAGGAAGCAGACUCAAGGCAGUCGCUUCGUUCAGUUUUGAAGGAAUGAGAAAUUCCUUCAAAAGCGCCUGUGCCUGCGUCUGCUAGCAGGUUCGGGGGAGCAAGAUUCCUCGGCACAAAGCUGCAAAGAAGCAGACUCAAGGCAGCAGCUUCGUUCCUUGAAAACUAGAUAACCGGAAAAGCGGAGGCGAGCGUUUCGCCGCGAUGGGCAAAUGUUCUUCGCCUGCAAGGGUGCUUGCACCCGGAAGGCGAAGGUUAUUUGACCCCGAGCGGCGGCGUGCCGAAGCUAGACAGUAAGGAAGAAGCCGAGAGCGCUGUA